UAGGGAAUAUUGCGCAAUGGGCGGAAGCCUGACGCAGCAACGCCGCGUGGGGGAUGACGGCCUUCGGGUUGUAAACCUCUUUCAGCGCCGAAGAAGCCGAAUGGUGACGGUAGGUGUAGAAGAAGGACCGGCUAACUACGUGCCAGCAGCCGCGGUAAUACGUAGGGUCCUAGCGUUGUCCGGAAUUAUUGGGCGUAAAGAGCUCGUAGGUGGUGUGUCGCGUCGGAUGUGAAAGCCCGGGGCUUAACUUCGGGUCUGCAUUCGGUACGGGCAUGCUGGAGUUCGGUAGGGGAGACUGGAAUUCCUGGUGUAGCGGUGAAAUGCGCAGAUAUCAGGAGGAACACCGGUGGCGAAGGCGGGUCUCUGGGCCGAUACUGACACUGAGGAGCGAAAGCGUGGGGAGCGAACAG
rnacentral:rRNA from 1 species